rnacentral:rRNA from 1 species
AACCAGCUCUUCAAGUGGUCGGGAUGAUUAUUGGGCUUAAAGUGUCCGUAGCCGGUUUAGUAAGUUCCUGGUAAAAUCAGGUAGCUUAACUAUCUGCAUGCUAGGAAUACUACUAUACUAGAGGGCGGGAGAGGUCUGAGGUACUAUAGGGGUAGGGGUGAAAUCUUAUAAUCCUUGUAGGACCACCAGUGGCGAAGGCGUCAGACUGGAACGUGCCUGACGGUGAGGGACAAAGCCGAGGGGAGCGAACCGGAUUAGAUACCCGGGUAGUCCUGGCCGUAAACGAUGCAUACUAGGUGAUGGUCCGGCCAUGAGCCGUGUCAGUGCCGUAGGGAAACCGUUAAGUGUGCCGCCUGGGAAGUACGGUCGCAAGGCUAAAACGUUAAGGAAGUUGGCGGGGAGCACCACGAAGGGGUGAAGCCUGCGGUUC